rnacentral:rRNA from 1 species
GUUAGUUGGUAAGGUAACGGCUUACCAAGACUACGAUGGGUAGGGGUCCUGAGAGGGAGAUCCCCCACACUGGUACUGAGACACGGACCAGACUCCUACGGGAGGCAGCAGUGAGGAAUAUUGGACAAUGGGCGCAAGCCUGAUCCAGCCAUGCCGCGUGCAGGAUGACGGUCCUAUGGAUUGUAAACUGCUUUUAUACGAGAAGAAACCACUCUACGUGUAGAGUCUUGACGGUAUCGUAAGAAUAAGGAUCGGCUAACUCCGUGCCAGCAGCCGCGGUAAUACGGAGGAUCCAAGCGUUAUCCGGAAUCAUUGGGUUUAAAGGGUCCGUAGGCGGCUUUAUAAGUCAGUGGUGAAAUCUCCCCGCUCAACGGGGAAACGGCCAUUGAUACUGUAAGGCUUGAAUUAUUAGGAAGUAACUAGAAUAUGUAGUGUAGCGGUGAAAUGCUUAGAGAUUACAUGGAAUACCAAUUGCGAAGGCAGGUUACUACUAAUUGAUUGACGCUGAUGGACGAAAGCGUGGGUAGCGAACAGGAUUAGAUACCCUGGUAGUCCACGCCGUAAACGAUGGAUACUAGCUGUUGGGAGCAAUCUCAGUGGCUAAGCGAAAGUGAUAAGUAUCCCACCUGGGGAGUACGUUCGCAAGAAUGAAACUCAAAGGAAUUGACGGGGGCCCGCACAAGCGGUGGAGCAUGUGGUUUAAUUCGAUGAUACGCGAGGAACCUUACCAAGGCUUAAAUGUAGAUUGACCGUUUUGGAAACAGAACUUUCGCAAGACAAUUUACAAGGUGCUGCAUGGUUGUCGUCAGCUCGUGCCGUGAGGUGUCAGGUUAAGUCCUAUAACGAGCGCAACCCCUGUUGUUAGUUGCCAGCGAGUCAAGUCGGGAACUCUAACAAGACUGCCAGUGCAAACUGUGAGGAAGGUGGGGAUGACGUCAAAUCAUCACGGCCCUUACGCCUUGGGCUACACACGUGCUACAAUGGCCGGUACAGAGAGCAGCCACUGGGCGACCAGGAGCGAAUC